CUGGAACCUGGAGCUGGCCAGUUCCGUGAUGUUGGAUGAGGCCUCUGGAAAAUUGCGAGAGUGAUAGUUUAUCUCGCGCGUCGCUCGCGAUAUCAGAUUCUACAAUUCGAACAGACCUUCAGUUUUUAAGAUGGAAGAAAUGAAAAUGGUUUCUUGUUUAAAAGAUCCACAUAGC